rnacentral:rRNA from 1 species
GGCUCAGAUUGAACGCUGGCGGCAUGCUUUACACAUGCAAGUCGAACGGCAGCACGAAAGAGCUUGCUCUUUUGGUGGCGAGUGGCGAACGGGUGAGUAAUACAUUGGAACGUACCGAGUAAUGGGGGAUAACUGUCCGAAAGGAUGGCUAAUACCGCAUACGCUCUGAGGAGGAAAGCGGGGGACCUUCGGGCCUCGCGUUAUUCGAGCGGCCAAUGUCUGAUUAGCUAGUUGGUGGGGUAAAGGCCUACCAAGGCGACGAUCAGUAGUGGGUCUGAGAGGAUGAUCCGCCACACUGGGACUGAGACACGGCCCAGACUCCUACGGGAGGCAGCAGUGGGGAAUUUUGGACAAUGGGCGAAAGCCUGAUCCAGCCAUGCCGCGUGUCUGAAGAAGGCCUUCGGGUUGUAAAGGACUUUUGUCAGGGAAGAAAGGGUUUGGGUUAAUACCCUAAGCUUAUGAC